rnacentral:rRNA from 1 species
CCUUUCUCCUUCAAUACGCGUUAUGCAGUAGUGACCUGCGGAGGAUCAUUGUCGAUGCCCAUCGGAACAAGACAGACGGAAGCGAACUCGUGAACCCUCGUGUUCCCGGCCCGCACGUCCGGGCGGCGCCCUGCGCGUGUCGGGCAACGACGAACCAAAUCUCGGCGCGGGACGCGCCAAGCAACUCGGGUAGCUUUGAUUGCGGCGUCCUCUUCCCUACCGGGCCGGAGGGCGCACGCGUCGAACAUUUACAACAAGUCAUUACGACUCUCGGCAACGGACUAUCUCGGCUCUCGCAUUGAUGAAGAACGUAGCGAAAUGCGAAAAAAGGUGUGAAUUGCAGAAUCCCGUGAACCAUCGAGUCUUUGAACGCAAGUUGCGCCCGAGGCCUUCCGGUUGAGGGCACAUCUGCUUGGGCGUCAAACAACUCGUCUCCCGCCGCCCUCUCCCUCCAGACUCCGAUCGAGGAGUCUGCCCGAGGCGAGGGCAGGUCGGGGCGGAGUCUGGUCGUCCGUGUGCCCGCAGAGCGCACGCGGUUGGCUGAAAAGCCCGGGCCACGGGCCGAGUGCGGCUCAACGGGUGGUGGUUGUGCGCCCUCUCCUUCAAGCGGGGCCGCGAUUGUCAGCCGCUGCGCCGUUCGCUUCUCGAUUGCCCGGCAAGUCCCUCCAUCGAAACGUCCAAUCGGCGGCUGCGAUUCGAAUGCGACCCCUAGCCAUGUUAACAUAUCUAUCC